GCCGAUUUAGCUCAGCUGGUAGAGCAUCUCAUUCGUAAUGAGGGGGUCGUGGGUUCAAAUCCUAUAAUCGGCACCA
rnacentral:tRNA from 1 species